UACGUAGGGUGCAAGCGUUGUCCGGAGUUAUUGGGCGUAAAGAGCUCGUAGGCGGUCUGUCGCGUCUGCUGUGAAAACUCGGGGCUUAACCCCGGGCCUGCAGUGGGUACGGGCAGACUAGAGUGCGGUAGGGGAGACUGGAAUUCCUGGUGUAGCGGUGAAAUGCGCAGAUAUCAGGAGGAACACCGGUGGCGAAGGCGGGUCUCUGGGCCGUAACUGACGCUGAGGAGCGAAAGCAUGGGGAGCGAACAGG
rnacentral:rRNA from 1 species